GACGAACGCUGGCGGCGUGCCUAAUACAUGCAAGUCGAACGAAGCUGUUUUAACUGGUGCUUGCACCGACUUAAACAACUGAGUGGCGAACGGGUGAGUAACACGUGGGUAACCUGCCCCAAAGCGGGGGAUAACAUUUGGAAACAGAUGCUAAUACCGCAUAACCACAGAAACCACAUGGUUUCUGUGUCAAAGAUGGUUUCGGCUAUCACUUUGGGAUGGACCCGCGGCGUAUUAGCUAGUUGGUAAGGUAAUGGCUUACCAAGGCAAUGAUACGUAGCCGAACUGAGAGGUUGAUCGGCCACAUUGGGACUGCGCCCCGGCCCAAACUCCUACGGGAGGCAGCGCUGUCCCCUCUUCCACAAUGGACGAAAGUCUUAUCUCUCCCCGCCGCGUGAGUGAAGAAGGUUUUCGGCUCGUCUCCCUCUUUUUUCAGAGACUUCCUUCUUCGAGAGUCUCUCCUCGUGCAGUGACGGUAUCUGGCCCCCCCGCCACGGCUAACUACGUGCCAGCCGCCGCAGUAA
rnacentral:rRNA from 1 species